rnacentral:rRNA from 1 species
UACGGGGGGGGCAAGCGUUGUUCGGAAUUACUGGGCGUAAAGGGCUCGUAGGUGGCCAACUAAGUCAGACGUGAAAUCCCUCGGCUCAACCGGGGAACUGCGUCCGAUACUGGUGGGCUCGAAUCCGGGAGAGGGAUGUGGAAUUCCCGGUGUAGUGGUGAUAUGCGUAGAUAUCGGGAGGAACACCAGUGGCGAAGGCGGCUUCUGGGCAUUUCCUGACGCUGAGACGCGAAAGCGUGGGGAGCGAACAGG